rnacentral:lncRNA from 12 species
AUGUAUUUUUUCCCAGCAGCAGACUGGAAAACUGGAUCCCAUAUAACCCCGGUGGCACUGAGAAAACAACCUCCUCAGAACCAGGUUCUUCUACCAGCAGGAUGGUGUGUCACUGCAGAGAAAAAAAGGCAGACCACUUUCCCUUAUAAGGAAUGGCCAUUGAGAUCUUGGGCCACCUGCACAUGCCAAAUAGCUCUGCUGAGAUGGAAACACAACCACUUUGGCCUGGGUUGGAAGGGAUCUCAAAGAUCAUCUAGAUCCUGCCAUAGGAUCUUCUUCAGGGAAGACAAGUUGCAACACAGCCUCGUUUCUGUUCUCUGUUUAAGCUUUUUGUAAGUGAAGGGCAAAUGCACAGCUCCUCCCCUUGCUGUUGUUUCCAGUUUUAUGAUUUGGCUCAGUUUUUCAGAGAGAUUAACAAGAGAAGGGGAUGAUGAAUUAGAACCAAGGCUGCCUAAAAAAAUAACAACAUACCCACUCUGAGUUGGAAUCCCUGCACAAGCAACUUGACAAAGUGCUUGUUGCACGACUACAUCUUAUUAAAACUGAAUGAGGGUUUGGAAGAUAAAACAUCUCAAGUUACCACAAAAGAUACCCCAUAUACAGCUACUGUCUAAACUGAAAAGGGAAUAUAGCUGGGAAUGCGCUGAAUUUAUCUGGAACUGAGAGUCACAUUACCAUCCACAGUGCCUUAUCCUCCACUGUGGAGGCACAAACUAAGACAAAAGAAGUAACUGAUCAAACUGGAGAACUAUUUCAGUCUAUGCAACCACAAGCCUGGUUUGAUCAUGCAUCAUGUGUUACUACCCUGCUAAAGCCUUGAGCGCUUACAGGACAGAGAAAAUGGCUAGCAGGAGUUGGAAGUGAAAUGGUCACUGGAUUUGUGUUUUUAAAUGUUGGCAUUAGCCUAGUUAAGCAUGAUAACAUGCUUAUUUAUCCUUGGCAUUUUCUACUUUCCUAUUUUCUCUUUAUUUCCUCCUUGAUGAAGAAAAAUAAAGGUGAAUGAUCACUUUGUAUCCCAACAUCUAAGCUCAUUUGUGUUUUAAUCUCACUUUUGGGUGUGUUGAGAACCUAACUCCUUUCAAUAGCUGUGGAUUGAGGCAAAACUUGUCAUUUUUUUUUCCCUGCAGAGUACCAGAAAAUUCCAAAAGGUAACUGAUGCAGAGUGGAGGCGUCUUCCCCAUCACCAUUAAUGAACAACCAUUUUCAGCCCUAAAACUUUUGGGCUGAAGACCUCUAUAACUUUUAGAAUAUAAUUAAUUAGUGUCUUAUAUGCAACCACAUCAUAAAAACCAUGAACUUAGCUGAAAUAAUUAUCCUCAUCUUACAUGAUUAAAAAGUUAGGACGCAAUCCAGAUUAACAAGGCUAAAAGGAUUUAAAGACUGCUGUGCCACCAGCAGUAUCAAUCUUUAAAUUCAUGGAUCCACAUUAAGACCUCCUAAAUGUCAUCCAAGAUUAGUAUUUCACAUUGGCUAUCUCUUUUUCCAGCGUUAGCUUGCCAUAAUAAAUUGUGUGAUUAUGGUGUAGUAUGUUAGUUCUUUAUUAUUCUACCUGCUGACCUCCACACAGCUAACAGCUUCAGAAGCUUCCACUCACAACAGAAACACCUCAAUUACCUGCAUAAUUUCUUCAGAUGCACUUCAAUCAGCAAACUUUUCCAAAAUUCUCUCCUGCUGUCAGCUUAGUAACAACUUCAUGAG